AGCGAACGCUGGCGGCAGGCCUAACACAUGCAAGUCGAACGAACUCUUCGGAGUUAGUGGCGGACGGGUGAGUAACACGUGGGAACGUGCCUUUUGGUUCGGAAUAACUCAGGGAAACUUGUGCUAAUACCGAAUGUGCCCUUCGGGGGAAAGAUUUAUCGCCAUUAGAGCGGCCCGCGUCUGAUUAGCUAGUUGGUGAGGUAACGGCUCACCAAGGCGACGAUCAGUAGCUGGUCUGAGAGGAUGACCAGCCACACUGGGACUGAGACACGGCCCAGACUCCUACGGGAGGCAGCAGUGGGGAAUCGUGCGCAAUGGGCGAAAGCCUGACGCAGCCAUGCCGCGUGAAUGAUGAAGGUCUUAGGAUUGUAAAAUUCUUUCACCGGGGACGAUAAUGACGGUACCCGGAGAAGAAGCCCCGGCUAACUUCGUG
rnacentral:rRNA from 1 species